GGUGUUGUAGCUCAGUGGUAGAGUGCUUGCCUUGUGCAUGUAAGGAAUUAGGUUUGAUCUUCAGUACCA
rnacentral:tRNA from 1 species